rnacentral:rRNA from 1 species
UACGUAGGGUGCGAGCGUUAAUCGGAAUUACUGGGCGUAAAGCGUGCGCAGGCGGUUUGUUAAGACAGAUGUGAAAUCCCCGGGCUUAACCUGGGAACUGCAUUUGUGACUGGCAAGCUAGAGUAUGGCAGAGGGGUAGAAUUCCACGUGUAGCAGUGAAAUGCGUAGAGAUGUGGAGGAAUACCGAUGGCGAAGGCAGCCCCCUGGGCCCAAUACUGACGCUCAUGCACGAAAGCGUGGGGAGCAAAC